GAAAUGCGAUAACUAGUGUGAAUUGCAGAAUUCCGUGAAUCAUCGAGUCUUUGAACGCACAUUGCGCCCCCUGGUAUUCCGGGGGGCAUGCCUGUCCGAGCGUCAUUGCUGCCCAUCAAGCACGGCUUGUGUGUUGGGUCGUCGUCCCCUCUCCGGGGGGGACGGCCCCAAAGGCAGCGGCGGCACCGCGUCCGAUCCUCGAGCGUAUGGGGCUUUGUCACCCGCUCUGUAGGCCCGGCCGGCGCUUGCCGAACGCAAAUCAAUCUUUUUCCAGGUUGACCUCGGAUCAGGUAGGGAUACCCGCUGAACUUAAGC
rnacentral:misc_RNA from 1 species